rnacentral:rRNA from 1 species
GACGAACGCUGGCGGCGUGCUUAACACAUGCAAGUCGAACGGAAAGGCCCUUCGGGGUCCUCGAGUGGCGAACGGGUGAGUAACACGUGGGUGAUCUGCCCUGCACUUUGGGAUAAGCCUGGGAAACUGGGUCUAAUACCGAAUAGGACCACGCGCUUCAUGGUGUGUGGUGGAAAGCUUUUGCGGUGUGGGAUGGGCCCGCGGCCUAUCAGCUUGUUGGUGGGGUAAUGGCCUACCAAGGCGACGACGGGUAGCCGGCCUGAGAGGGUGACCGGCCACACUGGGACUGAGAUACGGCCCAGACUCCUACGGGAGGCAGCAGUGGGGAAUAUUGCACAAUGGGCGCAAGCCUGAUGCAGCGACGCCGCGUGAGGGAUGACGGCCUUCGGGUUGUAAACCUCUUUCAAUAGGGAUGAAGCGCAAGUGACGGUACCUAUAGAAGAAGCACCGGCCAACUACGUG